GCUUUUCCUCCUCAGACCCACUGGCGUUAUAUACAGAGAAGCCUGUAGGAUCCUGUGGGAGGAAAAGGC
rfam:Xenopus laevis strain J chromosome 3L, whole genome shotgun sequence.